rnacentral:lncRNA from 1 species
UUUUUGAAAAAUUAUUUCAGUAAUAUACUUCUGGUAGGUACCAUACUCGUUCAAAGGCAUUUUUGAGGCUUCAAAGAAAUGUGGCUGAGGGCCCCCUUUAAUAAAUGAAGGAAAGUGAC